GAUCAGCAUGCCGCGGUGAAUACGUUCCCAGGCCUUGUACACACCGCCCGUCACACCAUGGGAGUUGGAUUCACCCGAAGGCAGUGCGCUAACCGCAAGGAGGCAGCUGACCACGGUGGGUUCAGCGACUGGGGUGAAGUCGUAACAAGGUAGCCGUAGGGGAACCUGCGGCUGGAUCACCUCCUUUCUAAGG
rnacentral:rRNA from 1 species